rnacentral:piRNA from 1 species
UCGAAUUGGCAUACUGAAGUUGUGCGACAGU